rnacentral:rRNA from 1 species
AAAAUAAAAAAUACCUGGGUAGUAUAUAGUUAUUUUCUUGAAACCCAAAGAGUUUGGCGGUAUCUCAGCCUAGUUAGAGGAGCUUGUUCGGUAAUCGAUAAUCCGCGAAGAAUCUUACGCACUUUUGUAGGCAGUUUAUAUACCGUCGUUAUUAGAUAAUGUUUAAAGGCAAAUAAUUAUCUAAAUAUAAUAAAAUAUAGUAUAUCAGAUCAAGGUGUAGCUAAUAAGUGUGAGUUGAAUGAGCUACAAUUUAGUAUUAUAAAUUAUGGAAAAUAAUCUAAAAUGAUUAUUGGAAGGUGGAUUUAAUAGUAAUUAAAAUUUAGUAGGGCCUAAUGAUAUAAGCUCUGAGAUAUGU